CCUACGGGAGGCAGCAGUGAGGAAUAUUGGUCAAUGGGCGGAAGCCUGAACCAGCCAAGUAGCGUGCAGGAUGACGGCCCUACGGGUUGUAAACUGCGUUGAUACGGGAAUAACGCGCCUUACGUGUAGGGCCUUGCAUGGAUCGUAUGAAAAAGGACCGGCAAAUUCCGUGCCAGCAGCCGCGGUCAGACGGAAGGUCCGGGCGUUAUCCGGAUUGGUUGGGUUAAAAGGGAGCGUAGGCCGAAGGGCAAGCGUGAUGUGAAAUGUCAGGGCUCAACCCGGGCCUUGCAGCGAGAACUGGCGUGCAUGAGUCAGCGGAGGGCAGGCGGAAUUCGUGGUGUAGCGGUGAAAUGCUUAGAUAUG
rnacentral:rRNA from 1 species